CUAAGUCGAGCCAGGCAGCA
rnacentral:misc_RNA from 1 species